rnacentral:rRNA from 1 species
UGGGGGAUAUUGCACAAUGGGCGAAAGCCUGAUGCAGCGACGCCGCGUGGGGGAUGAAGGCCUUCGGGUUGUAAACUUCUUUUGCUCUGAACAAGGCAUGCUAAUGGGUGUGUUGAGUGUAGGGGUUGAUUAGCGCCGGCUAACUACGUGCCAGCAGCCGCGGUAAUACGUAGGGCGCGAGCGUUGUCCGGAAUUAUUGGGCGUAAAGGGCUUGUAGGUGGCUGGUUGCGUCUGUCGUGAAAGCUCAUGGCUUAACUGUGGGUUUGCGGUGGGUACGGGCUGGCUUGAGUGCAGUAGGGGAGGCUGGAAUUCCUGGUGUAGCGGUGGAAUGCGCAGAUAUCAGGAGGAAUACCGGUGGCGAAGGCGGGUCUCUGGGCGGUUACUGACACUGAGGAGCGAAAGCAUGGGGAGCGAACAGG